GCCUGAUAGCUCAGUUGGUUGCAAAUGAGACUUGUAAUCUCAGAGUCGUGGGUUUGAGCCCCACGUUGGGCA